ensembl:lncRNA
GUAUUGCCAAAUUUGUAUAAUCUUUGGUGUUUUCAUUCUACAAAGAAUUUAGGGUAACUUACAACAGUAACUUAAUAACAUAAUAGAAAAAGAAGACUUUUCUAAAAACCUAGGAGAGGAGUUCCCAGGCUAGGGGUCGAAUUGGAGCUGUAGCUUCUGGUCUGUGACCUACACCACAGCUCACGGCAAUACCGGAUCCUUAACCCACCGAGUGAGGCCAGGGAUCGAACCUGCAUCCUCAUGGAUACUAGUUGAAUUUGUUUUCACUGUGCCACAAUGGGAACUGCUCUUUUAGAGCGUUUUUGGUACAAUGCCUUCUUGUAAGGUCCUGCUCGUAGAGGAGAUGGAUUAAAAUGUGCAAGCUGUGUAAAUUCUCAGAGGUGGGAUUAACCCAUACUUCUGUGAUUAUAGGAGCUCAGAGGAGGGGGAGACCACUUUUCAGCCUGGGUGACAAGGAAAGACUUCCCAGAGGAGCAGUGGGUAUGUUGGGAGGUCGAUCUGUCUGGCUGGAAUUGGGACUUCGUGUAGGAGCCCGGGCCGUCCAAACACGUAGGUAUCAGAUUUUCCUGGUGCAGGGUAGAUUUCAACCUCUUUCCCAUUUUCAGGACUCAGGCUCCAUAUUUCUCUAUACCAUUUACACCUUCUACCAAGACCCUCCUUUGUGGUCUAGUUUUGCACCAUUUCCCAGUGUGGAUAUACUCUAAGAAGCUAAUUUACCCUCCUAUAUCCCACUUUAUGUUCAGACAUACUUGUUUUUCUUGUUUCUUUUUUUGAAAUGACUUUUUUCCCUAAUUCACAUUUUUAUGCACCUUUUGGUCUCUUUUCAUUGGAGAAAGGAGAGCUGGUGCUACAUACCAGAGCUUCUGAUAUAUUUGUUAAUGGUGUAAAAAAAUGUGUUUUGACAUGUUGAAGUCAUAGUAUACCUUUAAGUAUGUUAAUAAUAAAUUUGGAGUUCCUGUUGUGGUUCUAUGGGUUAAGAAUCCGACAUAGUGAGGAUUUGGAUUCAAUCCCUGGCCUCACUUAGUAGGUUAAGGAUCUGGUGUUGUGGCAAGCUGCCAGGUAGGUCGCAUGUGGCUCAGAUCCAGUGUUGCUGUGGCAUAGGUCACAGCUGCAGCUCCAAUUCGACCCCUAGCCUGGGAACUUCCAUAUGCCACAGGUGCGGCCAUAAAAAGAAGAUAAAAAAAAAAGUAAAUUAAGGUUAGGAUAGUUGCAGUAUUACAGAAAAUUAAUAUAUUAAUCUCAGCAAAAAUACCUUAAUUUUAAAGUGGAUAAACCAGGGAUAUCAAAAUUGAAAAAAAUUUGGUUUUAGACAUCAUAGUACGUAUCUUUUUUGGUGAAUAACAUUACAAGAUGUCUUUACAUAGUAUUUGACAUAUUGCAGAUAUUCAGUAAAUGUUUGUUGAAUUGUAUGACUUAAAAAAAAACCCUUUCUUUUGAAAUAAUUAUAGACUAACAGGAAGUUGUAAAAAUAGGCAUAGAGUCUUAUAUAAGCUUCUAGCUUUCCCUGGUGGUUGACAUCUUAUAUAAUAAAAUAUCAAAACCAGGCAGUUGACAUUGGUACAGUAGGUUUACUAGACUAUAGAACUCAUACAUUCUUUUUUUUUUUUAACCGUUUUUAACAGGUAUUCCUUUUUGUGUUUGUGCGUGUGUAUAGAGUUCUGUGCAGUUUUAUCCCAUGUAGAGCUUUGUGUAACUCGAUCACACAAUCGCAUGAUCACAGUCGAGAUACAGAGCUGGUCCAUCACCCCAAAGGAAUUCCUUAUACUACCCCCUUUCUGUUUGUGCCCACAUCUUCUCCUCUCCCCCAGCCUAUUCCUGUCACUGUCCUCUGGUAACCAUUAAUCUCUUCGCCAUCUGUAUGCUAGUUUUGUCAUUUUGAGAAUGAUAUAUACUAGGAAUCAUACAGUAUGUAACCUUACAAGAUUGGCUUCACUAAGUUAAUACCCUUGAGAGUCAUCUAGAGUGUUGCAUGUUUCCUGUUUUGUUCUCCUUUUUUGUUGAAUCGAAAUCCAUUGUAUGGAUGUACUAACAUUUAUUUAACAUUCACCUGUUGACAUCCGGCUUUUGCUAUUAUAGAUAAAGCCACUAUGAGCAUUUGUAUACAGGCUUUUUGUGUUUUUAUUUCUCUGGGAUAAAUGCCUGAGUGCAGAUGCUGGAUUAUAUAGUAAGUGCAUGUUUAGCUUUAUAAGAAACUGCCAAACUGUUUUCUUGGGUGACUACCAUUUUACAUUUCUACCAGCAAUGCAUGAGAAAUCCAGUUUCUCUGCAUCCUUGCUGGCAUUUAGUAUUAUUAUUGUGUUUUAUUUUGGCUAUUUUAUUUUUUUGGCUCUGCCCAUGGCAUGUGGAAGUUCCUGGACCUGGAAUCAAAUCCAUACCACAGCAGCAAUCUGAGCUGCUGCAGUGACAGCGCCACAUUCUUAACCCACUACACCACAAGGGAACUUCUGUUUCGACUAUUUUAAUAGAUACAUGACACUUUCAGUUUUUCUUUGAUUAAAGCUACAUUUGUCUUUAGCAUAUGGCAGUUGCAAGCCUUAGUCAAAGAGUUCCCAUUGUAGCUCAGCAGUGAUAAACCUGACUAGUAUAUCUGAGGACACAGUUUCGAUCCCUGGCCUUGCUCAGUGGGUUGAGGAUCCAGCAUUGCCGUGAAGUGUGGUGUAAGUCGCACAUGUGGCUCAGAUCCUGCAUUGCUGUGGCUGUGGUGUAGGCUGGCAGCUGCAGCUCCAAUUCAACCCCUAGCUUGGGAACUUCCAUGUGCUGCAGUUACCUUUCUUCUAGAUCCCAGCAAUAGGUAUCUUAGCAAAAGUGCCUUCAUUGGGCUUUCCUUAAGUGAGACUAAGUAAUUCUACAGACAUAGCCACUUGGACUUAUUUAAUGCUAGGGUGGUGCAGUUGAGGAUUUUGUUUAUAUUCUCAUUUGUGGCAACUCAUAAGAUCUUGUUUUCUUUCUUGAUAGGAGUUUUGUUUUGUCUGUUUGGUUUUUUUUUUUUUUUUUUUUCUCCUGGCCUCGCCUGUGGAGUUCCUUGGCCAGGGAUUGAACCUGCACCACAGCAGUGACCCAAGCCACUGCAGUGACAGUUCUGGAUCCUUAACCCGCUGCCCCACAGGGAAACUGGCUUCUUUCACUUAGGAUAGUGUUUUUGAGGUUCAUCCACGUUGUAGCAUGUUAUCAAUUCUUCAUUCCUUUUUAUAGCUGAGUAAUGUUACACUGAAUAGCUGUAUCACAGUUUGUUUAUCCAUUCUUCCAUUGAUGGACAUUUAGGUUGUUUCUGCCUUUUGAUUAUUAUGAGUAAUACCGCUGGGGCAUGUGGGUAUAUAAGUUGUUUUGAGUACCUGUAUUCAGUUAUUUUGGGCCCGAAUCUAGGAGUAGAAUUGCUUGGUCAUAUAGUAAUUGUUUAAGUUGUUGGGCUGCCAAACUGUUUCCCGUUAUAGCUGCACCACUUAACAUUCCCACCAGCAGUGUAUCAGGGUUCAAAUUUCUCCACAUCCUUGCUAACACUUGUUAUCUUCUCCUUUUAAAAAAAAUGGCCAUUUUAGGAGUUCCCUUUGUGGCACAGUGGAAAUGAAUCUGGUUAAUAUCCAUGAAGAUGCUGGUGUGAUCCCUGGCCUCGCUCAGUGGGUUAAGGAUCCUGCAUUGCUGUGAGCUGUGGUAUAGUUCACAGAUGCGGCUUGGAUCCUACGUUGCUGCAGCUGUAGUGUAGGCUGGCAGCUGUAGCUCCAAUUCAGCCCCUAGCCUGGCAACUUCCAUAUGCUGCAGGUGUGGCCCUAAAAUGCAGGGGGGCAGUAAGCCAUUUAAGUGGGUGUGACAUGAGAUACAUGGUUUUGAUUUAUAUUUCUGCAUUAACUAAUGAUGUUGAGCAUCAUUUUCAUGUGCUUGUUGGCCAUUUAUAUAUCCUUAGAAAAGUUAUCUAUUCAGAUUUCUUAACCCAUUUUUGAAUUGGGUUGUUUGCUUCUUGGUUGUUGAAUUGUAAAUCUUCAUCAUAUAUUCAGUAUGCCAGACCAUUAUCAGCUUUUAUGAUGUACAGAUAUUUUCUCACAUUCUGUAGGUCGUCAUUUCCCUUUCUUGAUCAUGCCCUUUUUUGCACAAAAGUUGUGAAAUGUUAUGAAAUCCAGUUUGUAUGGUUUUGUUUUUCUUGUCUUGCUUAUGCUUUUGGUGUCAUAUCUAGGAAUCCAUUGCCAAAUCUAGGGUCAUGAAGAUUUACCUGUAUGUUUUCUCCCAAGAGUUUUAUGGUUUUAGCUCUUAUAUUAGGUCACUCAUUAUUUUUUAAAUUUCUUUUUAUUACUCAAUGAAUUUAUUACAUUUAUGGUUGUACAGUGAUCUUCACAAUCCAAUUUUACAGGAUUUACAUCCCACACCUCUAGCGCAUACCCCCCCCCGAACUGUCUGUCUCCUUUAGAAACCAUAAGUUUUUCAAAGUCUGUGAGUCAGUAUCUGUUCUGCAAAGUUCAUUGUGUCCUUUUUUUCAGAUUCCACAUGUCAGUGAAAGCAUUUGAUGUUGGUGUCUCAGUGUCUGACUGACUUCACUUCGCAUGAUAGUUUCUAGGUCCAUCCAUGUUGCUGAAAAUGCCGGUAUUUCGUUCCUUUUUAUGGCUGAGUCAUAUUCCAUUGUGUAUACGUACCACAUCUUCUUGAUCCACUCUUCUGUUGAUGGACAUUUAGGUUGUUUCCAUGUCUUGGCUAUUGCAAAUAGUGCUGUAGUGAACAUCGGAGUACAUGUGUCUUUGCGAGUCAUGGUGUUCUUUGGAUAGAUGCCCAGGAGUGGGAUUGCCGGAUCAAAUGGUAGUUCUAUCUGUAGUUUUGUGAGGAAUCUCCAUACUGCUUUCCACAGUGGUUGCACAAUUUACAAUCCCACCAACAGUGUACUAGGGUUCCUUUUUCUCCACACCCUCUCCAGCACUUCCUGUUUGUAGACUUUUUUGAUGAUGGCCAUUCUGGCUUGUGUAAGGUGGUACCUCCAAGUGGUUUUGAUUUGCAUUUCUCUAAUCCUGAGUGAUGUUGAACAUCUUUUCAUGUGUUUCUUGGCCAUCUGUAUGUCUUCUUUGGAGAACUGUCUGUUUAGAUCUUCCGCCCAUUUUUGGAUGGGGUUGUUUGUUUUCCUGGUAUUGAGCUGCAGAAUGUGUUUAUAAAUUUUGGAGAUUAAUCCCUUGUCAGUGGAUUCAUUUGCAAAGAUUUUCUCCCAUUCUGUGGGUUGUGUUUUUGUUUUGUUUAGGGUUUCCUUUGCUGUGAAAAACUUUUAAAUUUGAUUAGGUCCCGUUUGUUUAUUUUUGCUUGUACUGUCAUUACUCUAAGAGGUGGAUCUGAGAUGUUGCUGUCGUUUAUGUUGGAGAGUGUUUGGCCCAUGUUUUCCUCUGAGAGUUUUGUAGUGUCUGGUCUUACAUCUAGGUCUUUAAUGCCUUUUGAGUUUAUUUUUGUGUAUGGGGUUAGGGAGUGUUCUAAUUUCAUUCUUUCACAUGUGGCUGUCCAGUUUUCCCAGCACCACUUAUUGAACAGGCUGUCUUUUCUCUGUUGUAUACUCUUACCUCCUUUGUCCUAGAUUAGUUGGCUGUAGGUGCGUGGGUUUAAUUCUGGGCUUUCUAUUCUGUUCCACUGAUCUGUAUUUCUA